CCAGACUCCUACGGGAGGCAGCAGUGGGGGAUAUUGGACAAUGGGGGAAACCCUGAUCCAGCGACGCCGCGUGAGUGAAGAAGUAUUUCGGUAUGUAAAGCUCUAUCAGCAGGGAAGAAAGAAAUGACGGUACCUGAGUAAGAAGCCCCGGCUAACUACGUGCCAGCAGCCGCGGUAAUACGUAGGGGGCAAGCGUUAUCCGGAAUUACUGGGUGUAAAGGGAGCGUAGACGGUAAUGCAAGUCUGGAGUGAAAGGCGGGGGCCCAACCCCCGGACUGCUCUGGAAACUGUGUAGCUGGAGUGCAGGAGAGGCAGGCGGAAUUCCUAGUGUAGCGGUGAAAUGCGUAGAUAUUAGGAGGAACACCAGUGGCGAAGGCGGCCUGCUGGACUGUAACUGACGUUGAGGCUCGAAAGCGUGGGGAGCAAACAGGAUUAGAUACCCCGGUA
rnacentral:rRNA from 1 species